AAUGCACAAACAACUGUUAUCUAUUUGUCGUUUAAAAACUCGGCGAGAAUGUUCCGUCGGAUUUCGGCGGCAGAUUGGCGGCGCUCAACGGACGAAAUCCGCGCCGUUCGAUUGGCGGGAAAACGGAUUACGCGACGCUUGGCCUGCCCCCGGACCGACGGCGGUACACGUGCUCCGGGAUAAGACGAGUUAUCUAGUGCGGUUACCUACGCAACAAG